rnacentral:rRNA from 1 species
AGAUAAUAGAUACCCUGGUAGUCCACGCCCUAAACGAUGUCUACUAGUUGUCGGGUCUUAAUUGACUUGGUAAACGCAGCUAAACGCGUGAAGUAGACCGCCUGGGGAGUACGGUCGCAAGAUUAAAACUCAAAGGAAUUGACGGGGACCCGCACAAGCGGUGGAUGAUGUGGAUUAAAUUCGAUGCAACGCGAAAAACCUUACCUACCCUUGACAUGGUCGGAAUCCUUGAGAGAUCAGGGAGUGCUCGAAAGAGAACCGGCGCACAGGUGCUGCAUGGCUGUCGUCAGCUCGUGUCGUGAGAUGUUGGGUUAAGUCCCGCAACGAGCGCAACCCUUGUCAUUAGUUGCUACGAAAGGGCACUCUAAUGAGACUGCCGGUGACAAACCGGAGGAAGGUGGGGAUGACGUCAAGUCCUCAUGGCCCUUAUGGGUAGGCUUCACACGUCAUACAAUGGUACAUACAAAGGGCUGCCAACCCGCGAGGGGAGCUAAUCCCAUAAAGUGUAUCGUAGUCCGGAUUGUAGUCUGCAACUCGAC